rnacentral:rRNA from 1 species
CCUACGGGUGGCAGCAGUGAGGAAUAUUGGUCAAUGGGCGCAAGCCUGAACCAGCCAAGUCGCGUGAGGGAGGACGGUCCUAUGGAUUGUAAACAUCUUUUGUCGGGGAGCAAGGCCCGCCACGUGUGGAGGGAAGGAGAGUACCCGAAGAAAAAGCAUCGGCUAACUCCGGGACAGCAGCCGCGGUAAUACGGAGGAUGCGAGCGUGAUCCGGAUUUAAUGGGUUUAAGGGGUGCGUAGGCGGAAGGUUAAGUCAGCGGUCCAAUGUCGGUGCUCAACACCGGCCCGCCGUUGAAACGGGUCUUGUUGAGUGCGCGAGAAUUAUGCGGAAUGCGUGGUGUAGCGGUGAAAUGCAUAGAUAUCACGCAGAACUCCGAUUGCGAAGGCAGCAUACCGGCGCUCAACUGACGCUGAGGCACGAAAGCGUGGGGAUCGAACAGGAUUAGAUACCCCUGUAGUC